rnacentral:rRNA from 1 species
AGAGUUUGAUCAUGGCUCAGAACGAACGCUGGCGGCAGGCCUAACACAUGCAAGUCGAACGUGAAGCCACCUUCGGGUGGUGGAAAGUGGCAGACGGGUGAGUAACGCGUGGGAACGUGCCUUUCGGUUCGGGAUAACCCAGGGAAACUUGGGCUAAUACCGAAUACGCCCUCCGGGGGAAAGAUUCAUUGCCGAAAGAUCGGCCCGCGUCGGAUUAGCUUGUUGGUGGGGUAAAAGCCUACCAAGGCGACGAUCCGUAGCUGGUCUGAGAGGAUGACCAGCCACACUGGGACUGAGACACGGCCCAGACUCCUACGGGAGGCAGCAGUGGGGAAUAUUGGACAAUGGGCGCAAGCCUGAUCCAGCCAUGCCGCGUGGGUGAAGAAGGCCUUAGGGUUGUAAAUCCCUUUCAGCGGGGAAGAUAAUGACGGUACCCGCAGAAGAAGCCCCGGCUAACUCCGUGCCAGCAGCCGCGGUAAUACGGAGGGGGCUAGCGUUGUUCGGAAUUACUGGGCGUAAAGCGCGCGUAGGCGGACCUGUAAGUCGGGGGUGAAAUCCCGAGGCUCAACCUCGGAACUGCCUUCGAUACUGCGGGUCUUGAGUCCGGGAGAGGUGAGUGGAAUUCCUAGUGUAGAGGUGAAAUUCGUAGAUAUUAGGAAGAACACCAGUGGCGAAGGCGGCUCACUGGCCCGGUACUGACGCUGAGGCGCGAAAGCGUGGGGAGCAAACAGGAUUAGAUACCCUAGUAGUCC